CUUAACCGUCAAAUUUAAAACCCUUUCUUGACUGCAUCCCUAAUUUUGUCUCUUGUCUUCCCAAAAGACAAAUCAAAAUCGAAAGGGGAAAUCUUGAAGGGGAAAAGAUGGUUUUUUUUUUACUUUAAAUCCCGACUAGAAGUCGGCAAUUACACCAUCCUCAUGGUUCUUAACAAGUACGAAAACGCGGAGCUCAUCAAAUAUGGCUUCAUCGAAGAUAUCUGGGUUUUUCUAUUUAUUCACGAUUUUGCAUGGAAUUGAAAUGCAAAUUAGUUCAGGUGCUGAAAAGCGUAGCCAGAAGAGGUCAAAUUUGCAAUUGUGGAUAUGAACAUAAACAAAAUGGUGCAUCCCAGGAGACAUCCGCAAAAGAUAUACUUACAGCCCAUACAUUUUCGCCUGCAAUUUUGAAAGUAGUAAUCUAUCUUCUCCUCUUUGUUCCUUCACCAACCUUUCACAGAAUAAAGAUGUAAUGGAUGCAAUUCAGAAGGUAGCUGCAGCUUAUGACUGCAAAAUUGUUGAAGGCGUUCUUAGCCAUCAACUGAAGCAGUUCGUGAUAGAAAUGAAAUUAUUAUGUUUUUAGUGAAAUAUUUGUUUAAAUCUUAUUAUUUUGUAAUA